AGUGAGGAAUAUUCCACAAUGGGCGAAAGCCUGAUGGAGCGACGCCGUGUGUGUGAUGAAGUCUUUCGGGAUGUAAAGCACUGUCAGAGGGGAAGAUAUUGACGGUACCCUCAGAGGAAGCCCCGGCUAACUACGUGCCAGCAGCCGCGGUAAUACGUAGGGGCCAAGCGUUGUCCGGAAUUACUGGGCGUAAAGAGUGUGUAGGUGGCUUUGUAAGUCCGAUGUUAAAUCUCCCGGCUCAACCGGGAACGUGCGUUGGAUACUGCUUAGCUUCGAGAAUAGUAGAGGAAAGCGGAACUUCCGGUGUAGCGGUGAAAUGCGUAGAUAUCGGAAGGAACACCAGUGGCGAAGGCGACUUUCUGGGCUAUUUCUGACGCUGAGAUACGAAAGCAAGGGGAGCAAACGGGAUUAGAUACCCCGGUAGUCCUGGCCCUAAACAAUGGUCAUUAGGUGUAGGAGGUAUCGACCCCUUCUGUGCCAAAGCUAACGCGUUAAAUGACCCGCCUGGGGAGUACGGCCGCAAGGCUAAAACUCAAAGAAAUUGACGGGGGCCCGCACAAGCGGUGGAGCAUGUGGUUCAAUUCGAUGCUACGCGAAGAACCUUACCUGGGCUUGACAUCCUUCGAAUCCCGAUGAAAGUUGGGAGUGCCGGUUUCCGGAACGAAGAGACAGGUGCUGCAUGGCUGUCGUCAGUUCGUGUCGUGAGAUGUUGGGUUAAGUCCCGCAACGAACGCAACCCCUAUUGUUAGUUGCUAGUCUCCGCCUUUGGCGGAGGAAGCACUCUAGCGAGACUGCCUCGGAUAACGAGGAGGAAGGCGGGGACGACGUCAAGUCAUCAUGGCCCUUACGUCCAGGGCAACACACGUGCUACAAUGGCGCGCACAAAGAGAAGCAAGACGGCAACGUGGAGCAAAUCUCAAAAAACGCGCCUCAAUUCGGAUUGAGGGCUGCAAUUCGCCCUCAUGAAGCUGGAAUCGCUAGUAAAUGCAGAUAAGAGCGCUGCAUUGAAUACGUUCUCGGGCCUUGUACACACCGCCCGUCACACCAUGGAAGCUAGAAACACCCAGAGCCCCGUUUUUACGAGGUGAAGGUGGUGCUAGUGACUGGGGUGAAGUCAAAUAUGGCUUCCUAUGGGAGUAAUCCCAUAGUAAAAUCUAACUAUAU
rnacentral:rRNA from 1 species